rnacentral:piRNA from 1 species
UUUCGUUAUCAUUAUCUUCAU